rnacentral:tRNA from 1 species
GUAAACAUAGUUUAAUAAAAACACUAUGCUGUGGCCCUAGUAAUAAGUGCCCUUCGGCCCUUUGUUUACC